rnacentral:rRNA from 1 species
AUUGAACGCUGGCGGCAUGCCUUACACAUGCAAGUCGAACGGUAGGGGGGCAACCCCUGAGAGUGGCGAACGGGUGAGUAAUGCAUCGGAACGUGCCCAGUUGUGGGGGAUAACGUAGCGAAAGCUACGCUAAUACCGCAUACGACCUGAGGGUGAAGGCGGGGGACCGGAAGGCCUCGCGCAAUUGGAGCGGCCGAUGUCAGAUUAGCUAGUUGGUGGGGUAAAAGCUCACCAAGGCGACGAUCUGUAGCUGGUCUGAGAGGACGACCAGCCACACUGGGACAGAGACACGGCCCAGACUCCUACGGGAGGCAGCAGUGGGGAAUUUUGGACAAUGGACGCAAGUCUGAUCCAGCCAUGCCGCGUGCAGGAAGAAGGCCUUCGGGUUGUAAACUGCUUUUGUCAGGGAAGAAAUCCCUUGGGAUAAUACCCCGGGGGGAUGACGGUACCUGAAGAAUAAGCACCGGCUAACUACGUGCCAGCAGCCGCCGUAACAC